rnacentral:tRNA from 1 species
GUGCUAGUAGCUUAGUUGGCUUAAAGCGUCAGAUUGUGGCUCUGAAGAGCGUGGGUUCAAUUCCCACCUAGCACC